rnacentral:rRNA from 1 species
ACACGCAUGACACACUGCAUAUCAAUAAGCGGAGGAAAAGAAACUAACAAGGAUUCCCUUAGUAACGGCGAGUGAAGCGGGAAGAGCUCAAAUUUGAAAUCUUCAAGGUUCUACCUUGACGAAUUGUAGUUUAUAGAAGUGUUUUCUGUUAGUGGAGUGGCAAAAGUUCUUUGGAAUAGGACAUCAUAGAGGGUGAGAAUCCCGUAUUUGGUCAUUCCUCCUAGCGUUGUGAUACACUUUCAACGAGUCGGAUUGUUUGGGAAUGCAGUCCAAAAUGGGUGGUAAAUUUCAUCUAAAGCUAAAUAUUGGCGAGAGACCGAUAGCGAACAAGUACCGUGAGGGAAAGAUGAAAAGAACUUUGAAAAGAGAGUUAAACAGUACGUGAAAUUGUCAAAAGGGAAGCGUUUGACACCAGUGUUGUUUUUCCGAAAAUCAAUUACGAAUGUUUUGUUUUUAAGAAGUUAUGACUUCAUCGGCUUGCUUCUUUCUUUACGAAACUUUCUUAAUGCACUUUUCGGUUAACAAGUCAACAUCAAUUUCUUUUGUUGUAAAAGGGUAUGAGGAAGGUGGCUUUCUUUUCGGAGAAAGUGUUUAUAGCCUUGUGCCUCUGCAAUCGGAGAGAUUGAGGUCUGCAGCGUAGAUCCUUCGGGGUUAGAUACGUUUGUGCUAAGUUAUAGCUUUUCAUAGACAACUUGUUGACUAUGUUUAGUCUUGUAGCUUACUCGCUUACGCUAUUUUACCUACGCUUAGGAUGUUGAGCGCAUGUCUCUCUCU